UAAUCGUCGAUCACCACCACCGGAGAGCUUAUAUAGUCCUCUGUCAGAGCUUUGAUACAGGAGGAUCGCUGGUGACACUCAGCUUAGCUUCCGCAGCACGCCGAAGUUCUUGUUCCGAAUGGGAGGUUCCGUCGAUCGUGCACCGACGCCGCAACCAGAGGAUGGCGGCGAUCAUCGGCCCGCGCUUUGGGAAACCAUCAACACCAAGGGAGUUCACUAGGAAACGCAGAAGGACUAAUGUAAAUGUGGAUGAUCUUAUACAUGACAUUACUCCAAAGGGCAGGGGUGACUCUUUUUUUUUUUUUUUUUCCCUUGUUCAGUUUUAUUACUGUUGGUUUUCCUACGGUGCUUCAUUAUUUCCCUUGUUUACUGUUAGUUUUUCUGAGUGCUAUGUUUCAGAAGAGUGACUUGUGUUCUUCGUUUGCAAUUUCUUUUGUAAUUUGACGCAAGUUCACUGGGGGCUUAUAGAAUUCUGUCUGAGAUUGUGGUGUAUCAUUAGAAAAGUUGUUGGUUCUUUCAUCUGGAAAACUGAAAACUCUUUCUAGUUUUAUCCCUGAAAAUUUGGUUAGAGGAAAAAAUCUGGAAAAGAUUUCUGUUGAGAAGAAGCAAGUGCUACAUCUCAACACACUUCCAAGAUAAAGAAAAUUGCUGAAUCGUUAGUGGCGCAUUGUUUGGUUUGUGUGAAGUGCAUAAAGUUUGUUCUCAACUUCAUCGAGCCACGACGUAAUAGUUUCCAUCAUGAUUUGGUUCUGUGCAUCUUAUUUCUUGUCGCUGAGUACAUCCAGUUGAUGUCAUUGUGUUGCACUUAAGAGCAUUGAGACUUAAGUAUAUGUUCGUAUUCAUCUGUCAUGCGAGUUUGAAAGCUGUGCAUUCUUGUGUCUUUAUGCAGCUUCUGUUCCAUAUUUGGUCAAGGCUGAGCUGUUGCAGCACAUCAGAUCUUUUGUUGAAUCAACUUCUCGCCGAUUCAUCAGUCAGUCCUGUAGAUUGCUUCUGUGCCUUCAAGCAGCUUCUAUUCCUGAUUCAGUGAAGGCUGAGCCAUUGCCAUCUUCAGAUGCUUUCUCACCUUAACUUCUCUCUGGUUUCAGCACUUGGUAGUUUGUACUCAAUGAUGUAAAUAUGCAUGCACAUUGUUACCGCAUGCAGUAGUUCUCUUUCUUAGCAUUGCACCAAGUCUGACUCACCGAGCAAACCAUUCUAUGGUGGAGAGUUGGGAGCACAACAAUGUACUGCGCAGAUCCGACGCAGCAAUUUGUUGCUGCACUUGGAUUAGGACAUGUAAAUUGAAUAGGCACAUCAUCAGCAGAAUUGAGGCUCAA